rnacentral:rRNA from 1 species
UACAGAGGGCCCAAGCGUUGUUCGGAUUCACUGGGCGUAAAGGGUGCGUAGGUGGCCAGGUAAGUUUGAUGUGAAAGCUCGGAGCUUAACUCCGAAAUGGCAUUGAAUACUAUCUGGCUUGAGGGUCGGAGGGGAGACUGGAAUUCUCGGUGUAGCAGUGAAAUGCGUAGAUAUCGAGAGGAACACCAGUGGCGAAGGCGAGUCUCUGGACGACAUCUGACACUGAGGCACGAAAGCUAGGGGAGCAAACAGG